UCGACGUUCUGAUUCUCCGGCGUAACGGCUUCUCCACCACUUCGAUUCAUCAAAGCCUCAUUACUAUAACACUCCAAUGGCAACUUAACAAUUUAAUUCCACCAAAUUCACCCUAUAUAUCUUACUCACGUCUCUCACGAACUACUUCUCCAACUCCGAUCCGAUGAGAACGAUUCUUGGUCGGACAUAUAUCAUGCCGUGAUCCAUCGCUAUAUUUUUUUUUGAACGAUCAAGGUGAUCCGUCGCUUCCAAUAAGGCGAGAGCCAGCGGAAGAGGUUCCAUGUGAACACUGAGGCCCAGAGUUUGUCUAUGCAGUAAUGCAGAAGCAACUCCAAAGAUAUUCUCCUCUCUC